rnacentral:tRNA from 1 species
UGGGGUUUUAGCUCAGUGGUAGAGUGCUUGCCUAGCAGAUGUAAGCCCCUGGGUUCAAUCCUCAGCACCACAU